UACGUAGGGGGCUAGCGUUGUCCGGAAUCAUUGGGCGUAAAGAGCGUGUAGGCGGUCCGGUCAGUCGGUUGUGAAAGUCAAGGGCUCAACCCUUGAAUGCCGGCCGAUACUGCCGGGCUAGAGUCCGGAAGAGGUGAGUGGAAUUCCUGGUGUAGCGGUGAAAUGCGCAGAUAUCAGGAGGAACACCAAUGGCGAAGGCAGCUCACUGGGACGGUACUGACGCUGAGACGCGAAAGCGUGGGUAGCAAACAGG
rnacentral:rRNA from 1 species